rnacentral:rRNA from 1 species
AGAGUUUGAUCCUGGCUCAGGACGAACGCUGGCGGCGUGCUUAACACAUGCAAGUCACGGGGGCCCGCAAGGGCAACCGGCGAACGGGUGCGUAACACGUGAGCAACCUGCCGAUGUCUGGGGGAUAGCCGGCCCAACGGCCGGGUAAUACCGCAUACGCUCAUCGGGCGGCAUCGCCUGGUGAGGAAACCUCCGGGGGACAUCGAGGGGCUCGCGGCCUAUCAGCUAGUUGGUGGGGUCAUGGCUCACCAAGGCGACGACGGGUAGCUGGUCUGAGAGGAUGGCCAGCCACAUUGGGACUGAGAUACGGCCCAGACUCCUACGGGAGGCAGCAGUGGGGAAUCUUGCGCAAUGGCCGAAAGGCUGACGCAGCGACGCCGCGUGUGGGAGGAAGCUCUUCGGGGUGUAAACCACUGUUGCCCGGGACGAACCGCCUUUUUCGAGAGGCCUGACGGUACCGGGUGAGGAAGCACCGGCUAACUCCGUGCCAGCAGCCGCGGUAAUACGGAGGGUGCGAGCGUUGUCCGGAAUCACUGGGCGUAAAGGGCGCGUAGGUGGCGUGGCAAGCGUGCGGUGAAAGCCCGGGGCUCAACUCCGGGUCGGCCGUGCGAACUGCCAUGCUCGAGCACGGUAGGGGCCAAUGGAAUUCCGGGUGUAGCGGUGGAAUGCGUAGAGAUCCGGAAGAACACCGGUGGCGAAGGCGGUUGGCCGGGCCGUUGCUGACACUGAGGCGCGACAGCGUGGGGAGCAAACAGGAUUAGAUACCCUGGUAGUCCACGCCGUAAACGAUGGGCACUAGGUGCUUGGGGGAGCGACCCCUUGAGUGCCGGCGCUAACGCAUGAAGUGCCCCGCC